rnacentral:rRNA from 1 species
AACGCAGCGAAGGGCGAUAAGUAAUGUGAAUUGCAGUAAUUUAGUGAAUCAUCGAAUCUUUGAACGCACAUUGCCGCCCCUUGGCAUUCCGAGGGGCAUGCCUGUUCGAGCGUCAUCACAACCCUCAAGCUCUGCUUGGUGUUGGGCAUCGCCAGUCUUGGUGUGACCUUAAAAUCAGUGGCGGCGCCAUCUGGCCCUCAGCAUAGUAGUAAUUCUCUUGCUAGUAGGGACCUGGUAGGUGCCAGCCAUCCAACCCCUAGUUAUAAUUAAGGUUGACCUCGGAUCAGGUAGGGAUACCCGCUGAACUUAA